ACCGCAUGGUUCAAUCAUAAAAGGUGGCUUUUAGCUACCACUUACAGAUGGACCCGCGGCGCAUUAGCUAGUUGGUGAGGUAACGGCUCACCAAGGCGACGAUGCGUAGCCGACCUGAGAGGGUGAUCGGCCACACUGGGACUGAGACACGGCCCAGACUCCUACGGGAGGCAGCAGUAGGGAAUCUUCCGCAAUGGACGAAAGUCUGACGGAGCAACGCCGCGUGAGUGAUGAAGGUUUUCGGAUCGUAAAACUCUGUUGUUAGGGAAGAACAAGUACCGUUCGAAUAGGGCGGCACCUUGACGGUACCUAACCAGAAAGCCACGGCUAACUACGUGCCAGCAGCCGCGGUAAUACGUAGGUGGCAAGCGUUGUCCGGAAUUAUUGGGCGUAAAGCGCGCGCAGGCGGUUUCUUAAGUCUGAUGUGAAAGCCCCCGGCUCAACCGGGGAGGGUCAUUGGAAACUGGGGAACUUGAGUGCAGAAGAGGAGAGUGGAAUUCCACGUGUAGCGGUGAAAUGCGUAGAGAUGUGGAGGAACACCAGUGGCGAAGGCGACUCUCUGGUCUGUAACUGACGCUGAGGCGCGAAAGCGUGGGGAGCGAACAGGAUUAGAUACCCUGGUAGUCCACGCCGUAAACGAUGAGUGCUAAGUGUUAGAGGGUUUCCGCCCUUUAGUGCUGCAGCAAACGCAUUAAGCACUCCGCC
rnacentral:rRNA from 1 species